ACCUGGGUGGCUUAGUCGGCUAAGCACCCGACUUCAGCUCAGGUCAUGAUCUCACAGUUUGUGGGUUCAAGCCCCACAUCAGGCU
rnacentral:tRNA from 1 species